rnacentral:rRNA from 1 species
UACGAAGGGGGCUAGCGUUGCUCGGAAUCACUGGGCGUAAAGCGCACGUAGGCGGAUCUUUAAGUCAGGGGUGAAAUCCCAAGGCUCAACCUUGGAACUGCCUUUGAUACUGGGGAUCUCGAGUCCGGGAGAGGUGAGUGGAACUCCGAGUGUAGAGGUGAAAUUCGUAGAUAUUCGGAAGAACACCAGUGGCGAAGGCGGCUCACUGGCCCGGUACUGACGCUGAGGUGCGAAAGCGUGGGGAGCAAACAGG